GUAAGUAUAUCCAAAAGAUUAAGGAAAAAAAUUGUGGAUUUUUUAUAUAUGAGUUAAAAUCUCAUUAUUUACC
rnacentral:tRNA from 1 species